UACGUAGGGGGCAAGCGUUGUCCGGAAUCAUUGGGCGUAAAGAGCGUGUAGGCGGCUUGGUAAGUCCGCUGUGAAAGUCCAGGGCUCAACCCUGGAAUGCCGGUGGAAACUGUCAAGCUCGAGUCCGGAAGAGGCGAGUGGAAUUCCUGGUGUAGCGGUGAAAUGCGCAGAUAUCGGGAAGAACACCCGUGGCGAAGGCGGCACUCUGGGACGGUACUGACGCUGAGACGCGAAAGCGUGGGGAGCGAACAGG
rnacentral:rRNA from 1 species